CAGUUUGAAACGAGCGCGGCAGUGAUGGUAAUACGACUCACUAUAGGGCGAAUUGGGCCCGACGUCGCAUGCUCCCGGCCCGCCAUGGCGGCCCGCGGGAAUUCGAUUAGAGUUUGAUCAUGGCUCAGGACGAACGCUGGCGGCGUGCUUAACACAUGCAAGUCGAACGAUGAAAGCAGGAGCUUGCUUUUGCUGGAUUAGUGGCGAACGGGUGAGUAACACGUGAGUAACCUGCCCUUGACUCUGGGAUAAGCGUUGGAAACGACGUCUAAUACCGGAUACGAGCUAGGACCGCAUGGUCACUAGUUGGAAAGAAUUUUGGUCAAGGAUGGACUCGCGGCCUAUCAGCUAGUUGGUGAGGUAACGGCCCACCAAGGCGACGACGGGUAGCCGGCCUGAGAGGGUGACCGGCCACACUGGGACUGAGACACGGCCCAGACUCCUACGGGAGGCAGCAGUGGGGAAUAUUGCACAAUGGGCGAAAGCCUGAUGCAGCAACGCCGCGUGAGGGACGACGGCCUUCGGGUUGUAAACCUCUUUUAGCAGGGAAGAAGCGAAAGUGACGGUACCUGCAGAAAAAGCACCGGCUAACUACGUGCCAGCAGCCGCGGUAAUACGUAGGGUGCAAGCGUUGUCCGGAAUUAUUGGGCGUAAAGAGCUCGUAGGCGGUUUGUCGCGUCUGCUGUGAAAAUCCGAGGCUCAACCUCGGACCUGCAGUGGGUACGGGCAAACUAGAGUGCGGUAGGGGAGAUUGGAAUUCCUGGUGUAGCGGUGGAAUGCGCAGAUAUCAGGAGGAACACCAAUGGCGAAGGCAGAUCUCUGGGCCGUAACUGACGCUGAGGAGCGAAAGCGUGGGGAGCGAACAGGAUUAGAUACCCUGGUAGUCCACGCCGUAAACGGUGGGAACUAGAUGUGGGGUCCGUUCCACGGAUUCCGUGUCGCAGCUAACGCAUUAAGUCC
rnacentral:rRNA from 1 species